UACGAAGGGGGCUAGCGUUGUCCGGAAUUAUUGGGCGUAAAGGGCUCGUAGGCGGUCCGUCACGUCGGGAGUGAAAACUCAGGGCUCAACCCUGAGCGUGCUUCCGAUACGGGCGGACUAGAGGUAUGCAGGGGAGAACGGAAUUCCUGGUGUAGCGGUGGAAUGCGCAGAUAUCAGGAGGAACACCGGUGGCGAAGGCGGUUCUCUGGGCAUUACCUGACGCUGAGGAGCGAAAGCAUGGGGAGCGAACAGG
rnacentral:rRNA from 1 species